CAGAUUCAGUGAGAAGAUCUUCACUGUUUCUGUUUAUGAUUCAGGUUCAGAUCCGACUCCAUUCCUGACAGGACUAUAUGUAGCUGUUGCUGUUUCUGUUUCUGCUGGUGUUAUUGCCAUUCUGCUGAUUGUUGCUGUGAUUUGCUGUUGCAAGCGCAGAGCAAGAAGGAAAGCUAACAGGACGGAGCGCAGUGAACAGAGAGACACUUUUUUGAUGAAGAAUCUCAGUGACUCGAAC